UCGCGGAAGGAAACCCAGUCCACGGGGAAGGGAGCAGAGCCAGAGGGGGGCAGCGCUGCGCCUUGUGGCAGCCCUGACAGCUGGCAAUGCCAGCCCAAGGGAGAGGACCCUGCGGCCAUUUCAUCUCUACCCCCAAAUUAGGCCCCGCUUUGUGGUCUUGAAAGGCCGGCGUGUAAGAGAGUGAAGUGGGAAUUUGAUAGCGCCAGGACAUAAGGGGCUGCCUGCUCUGAGACCCCCUUCUCCCAGCCCCCACUUUCUAGGGGGUCCAGUGCUUCCUGAGCCCCAAACGCAUUCCAGUUACUUGGAUACGCUAACAUUUUAAGGAUUUCUGUCUAUAAGUUAAAACGUAAGAGCCCGAAAGAGGGUGUUAAUGUACAUCCUGGCAAACUGGAAGCAACAAAGUUGGUGAACGAGAAAGAAAGCCGCCUUGAAUAAGAAGCCCAUCUUUUGCAAUGCUAUACUUGUUUCCUUUUUGAAAAGAGUUGAGGUGGUCCGUCCCUUACAUGGCAAAGUAAAAGGUAGUAGACAGUGUUGGGGUGGGGGCAGAGUUUGGAGACGACCACUGAAGUGCCCCUUUCUGGGCUGGAACAAGGGUCGCGGCGCAGAUAUCUGAAGCUGGAGGCAGAAGCCCAGGCGACGGGCAGGCAGGCCACGUGGCUGUUCCCUGUGGCGCCUGCAGCUUUGGUCCUGGAAACCUUAGGGUGUGGAGCUCCUUGGGCCAACUAAAGGGUUCAGCUUGUUGGGAGAAGAGAGGACGAGUGUUAUUUCUCCAGCGAGGGGUAAACAAGACUGUGCUUUCAUGGGAGGGACAAAUUGCAGAGUUGGUCCCUUACCGUUUUACAAAAAUAUUCAGAAACAAUGACUACAGCUUGUCAACUGGCCUGUUUGGCGAGCCGCUGCCUUAUUGUAAAAUAGUCUGUCUGAAAAUCAGAUUCGACUUGACUUCCACUUAAUUUCAGUAGCACUGUGGCAGUUCUCGAAACAGUCACCCCUGCACCCUUGCCUACGUGUCUUCCACUUACAGAUUUUAUCUCUUGGGAGCGCUUAGAGAAUGCGGCAGAAAUUCUGCCCCACUCUUCAUCAAGUGUUCCUUUUUGUAAAUCUGAAUUGCGCAGCAUUCUGCAAUUCUUAUGUAGAACAUGGCUGCAGAAAUCUUGAAACUUUUUCCACUUCAGCUAUUUUUUUAAAGAACAAUAUCAAAUCUUAUUUUGUUUUGUUCUUUUUUUCUCUGUAGCUGAGUUAUCAAAAAUAAAGAGAUUGAAUGAUUGGACUCUUUUCUUUGUGGCCACGGGUAAGCAAGACAGGAAAGUGUGGCCAAAGUGUAAAGGAAACCUUACCUGACCAAGGGGAAUUGGGGAAGGGGAGGGGAGUGGACAAGGAACUGGAGGAGAAACUGAGUCCACAACUGCGCAACAGCCAGGGGUCAUUAGCCAGCCCAUCUUGCAGCCAUCAAUCUCCAAGCCUGGUUCUUAAAUAAGUGUGCCCAACCCUUUCCCGGCACUAAACUUCUAGCUUAUAAAGAGCUCCUGGCCAUUGGGUACAGGAACCCCCGACCAAGGCUCAGGCAACGCUCUGAUGCCAGGAUACUUAGAGGGGAAUUCAAAAUGAACACCUAACCAGAACCAUCCUGACCAUGGAAUCAUUCAGCCAGAGUCACAAUUGAUGACUACUUCUAAGAAGAAAUUUCUCUUGAACUGUUCUAAAGAGUGGAGGAUGAGAGGACCUUUGAGUUCUUAAGCAGGGCUUGAAUGUUACUUUUGGAGCAAAAGGUAUUAGCUUGCCAGGAGUUACCUCUGAAAAUGGCUGGCACUAGAAACUCUCUGCUUUACAAACUGCAGCAGGCCCUGGCUGAUCAUCCAGUCUGCUCAUGUACAGCUCUUUCUUAUCUAACAUUUUACCUAACAAUUUUCUUUUCCACAUUUGCUGGGGCAAAGAUGGCUCCCUUUUUACUUGUUGACAAGUCAGAUAUAACUCUGAAUUAUUGAUUAUCUUAUAUAUGCAAUAAUAAUCGCAACUUCUGCAAUAUUCAGUUUAAAUUCGAAAGCGUACUUCUUUCUAAAAUCUCAAUCUUGGGACCGUAAAAACAAUCUUAGAAAUUUUCUUUUAAGGCUGAAUUUUCCUUUAAGUCUGACAUCCUUCCUAACUGGAAGGACGUCAAUGGGGACUACCUUUUUUGGGAAUGCUAGAAUUCAGUCAUUUUGUCUACUUCUAAAAUAAAAUCCCCCCCAAAAAAAUUUAACUGAAAAAAAAUUUAUUUUGUACUUGAAUAAUGCAAAAUGAUCUUUGUUUUCAAACUGCAAACUUGGCAUAUAUGCAAUCCUGCCUGAGGAAUGUGUGCUGUGUUAAAAAUUGAAACAAAAAAUACUGUUAAAAGUAACAGAGUUAGAAAUCUCACACUGAAUAUAUACAAUAAAUAUUAAGUCUCCUGACAGUUUGAAUAUGCUGUGACACUUUCUUAGCAACAAUCCAUUAUAAAUACUUUUAGAUAAGGAAAACAAACACACACUAGAGAAUGGUUAGCAAGCUGGUAAAUUCUGGAGUUUGGGCUUGCAUAAAAGGUGAGUACUCGGUGGCUCACACCUGUAAUCCCAGCACUUUGGGAGGCCGAGGCGGGUGGAUCACGAGAACAAGAGUUCGAGACCAUCCUGGUCAACAUGGUGAAACCCCGUCUCUACUAAAAAUACAAAAAAUUAGCUGGGAAUGUUGGCACGUGCCUGUAAUCCCAGCUACUCAGGAGGCUGAGGCAGGAGAAUUGCCUGAACCCAGGAGGCAGAGGUUGCGGUGAGCCGAGAUCGUGCCAUUGCACUCCAGGCUGGGUAACAAGAGCGAAACUCCGUCUAAAAAAAAAAAAAAAAAAGGUGAGUACUUCUAUCUGUUCCUUCUCUUCUUUCUCCUCAGACUUUACAUGACCAGUUUGCUGGCUCCGAGUUCUGAGAAAUAAUUUAUCUGAAAUGCAUAGAUAAUGUACAGGAACAUUCACAGAAGGAGGAGAAAAUUAGAAAGGCUGCAAUUGAGUGGCUAUCAGAUGAGGGGGUGUGUUGGCUGGAGAGUUGGUGUCUCAGCUGCCCAUUAACCUUGGAAAACACACUCACUUCACUUAUAUCAAAGAGUUGCUGGAAUAACUGAAGAAAGAAUGCAAGAAAUAAAUAGUUAUUCAUAAGAAUUGUUAUCAUGGUGUCAGUCUUCCUUCAUAGCAUUAUAUGUCUUCUUUUUAAUCAUCCUAUGACCAGUAAUUUAAAUAUAAAUGGAAUGAUUUACAUUUCAUGUUUUUUCAAUUCAAUUUCUCUUUCUGAUGACUCAUAACUUUCACAUUUUUUUUCGCUUGAAGGGAUUUCCUUUUUUCACAAAUGGCUUUUCCUGAAGCCUUAUGUCCUGCGGCUGUUUGGUUUGGUUCUUUGCAGAAAACAUGUUGUUUUUGCCAGUGACCACAAGAGGACACAAUUUCCCAGAUAACUGUUCCAUAGAAGAGGAAAGCUAACAAAAUAGCAAAAAUAACACACAAUAUCAUUUGGAGAUGUCUAUUUAAUUUAUGCCACUUUUAUUUAAAAAAUGAGUUGGCAUUCAAACUUUUGAAGAUUUUAUAAUUUUAAUUUUUUUAGAACAUGAAGAAAAUACACUAAUGUAGUUAAGGAAAAUGUUUCUUUUAUAUUGACAAAAUUGUGUAUGAAACUCUUGGUGACUUGGAAUUUUACUUAAUUUUUGAGCCAUGUUUGGCAAUGAAAAACAGUUUAAAAAACGAUUUUUCAAAAUGCCAUUAACACUCUGAAUUUUUACUUCAGACAUUUGGGUUGUCUUUACAUUGAAAACCAUGAAAAUUAUGUUUUAUACUUUUCCACUUAUAUUUUAAUGCACAUGUUAGGCUAAUAAUUAAAAUUAUUUUGCAGAUACAUGGAAAAUGUGGUAUGUUAAGGUACUGACUCUCAACACUUUCUCAGAAUUAUUAUACACAAUCUCUAAGAGAUCCUUCCUCUUUUCUACUGCCUUCUCUCAGAAACAUUUUAGAAUAUUUGAUUUCUUUGUAAAUUAAAUUGGAUUAUGGCUUGAUACUUUUCUGAAGAUGUUCAUGGUUCUGGUGAAUUGCUGGACGAGCAGGCUUUGAAAUCCUGCUUUCCUUGGAACUAAAUGCUUUUGCUUUGCAUUUGUAUCUUCCUGCAGAUACAUCCCUGAUUAUUUUCUCUGAGACCCUGCUAGAGUGAGUGAGCAAGGACUCUGAAAAAAAAAAGGAAAGAAAGAAAAAGGAAAGAGUAAGAAAUAAGAAAAAUAAGGAGAUCAAGAGAAAUGAAGCAGAAUCUGGAGAGAGAUGGUGAGAGAACUCAAACAAGAGAGCAAGAGUGAUAGAGAAGGAGACUUUGUAUAUAGAAGGAAUAAAAGGCCUACAUGAUAAAAGAAAGAAAGAAAUUGAUGCAUUUGAGAGAAAUGUAAAAGCACCAGGUUUAUUUUCCUCUGUUUCUGAUCAAAGAUACUACCUGUCCCUUGAUACAGACAUUUAGAUUCAAAAAUUCCUGUAAUUGUUGCCUAAGUCAUACCAAAGUUAAAACAGGUAGAGAACCAUUAAAUUUAUAAUUAAGGUUGGUGUUCAUCUAUUGGGUGAGCUCUGAAAGAUGCCAAUAUGUUGUCAUUACUGGAUCUCAGGGCGGAUCUCAUCUGGGGGAAUACUGAUGUCAUCAUUUUUCUAUGGACAUGAUGUUCUUUUCCAUUUGAUCUGCACAUUAGAAGUCAAACUGUGUUUUUCCUGGUGGUUUGUUUGCUAGGGUCAAUAUCUUUGCCCUCCUCACCACAGAUACCUUAGAAAAAGCACGGCAAGUGAUGAGUCUUGUUCUCACUCUACUCAAGACCUUGAGACAUUGUAAGGUUCUGGUUCUGCCUAAUGGUGCAUUUGGGAGAUCUGAAAUCUGGUUUCAACUGGCACUAGUUAACUGCAAUGGAUUUAUUGAUUCUUUUGUAAUUUAACAAAAAUGUAUCAAUGUCUCUUAGGUUAUCUGAGUAGGAAAGUUUAGUCCCUGACAAAUACAUAACAGUAUUAUAGGAAAUAAAUUAUGAAAACAAUUUUGUAACAUAGGAAGCUAAGUAUUAUGAUAUGUGUUUGCACAGAAAGCCAAGGAAGGACAUCAAACCUGGACUGAGGUGAUGAGUGCCUUUGUGCAUUGGAGAAUUACCUUAGUGCCAUGGUGGUGGCCAAAUACACUUCUAGGAAAACUGUCCCAGACAGAAAGGCACAGAAAGCCUCACAGACCAAAUUAAGAUACACAUGACAUGUCACAUGGUUUAUUGAGUCAAUCUGAAGCAUACAGCAAAAAAAGGAAAAUCUAUAGCCGAGUUUAAUAUACUAGGAUAGGUUGCAAAUAGGCAGGAAGGAUCACGCUACCCAGAUCCUGUUGUAUAUGAUGUUAACAUGUCCUAGGUUUUUUUUCUCUCUAUUUUCCUAUAUCAAUCUUCCCUUUCUUUGAAGAUUGAUAUCAACUUUGAAGAGGUUCAAAGUUAAAGAUAAACAUGAAUAGAGGAUGAGACACAGGCAGAUGCUCUUGUCCAUAGUUGGGACUUGACAUAGCCUGGUGAGCAGCUAUAGAUUUUAUCUUUCUGUCAGCCAGAGGGCUAGUGGCCCAUAUUGAAUGUCCAUAACAAAUAGCCUAUUUAAGACCUCAUAAGUAUGAGUGCUUCAUGAAUAGCAGCUUCCUUACAAGCUUUAUGACAGUUUCAUGCUUACUUGGUCUUUCUGUCUCUUCCUGUUUGGUCUGCUUACACCACUGAUAUUUAAGAUGUCUCUCAUGCUACUUGUUUCUGUACUUAAAUUCAUCUCUUCUUGUUUCCCUGAUUUUUUUAGUAGAAAUAGUUCUUCAUAAAAAUUAUAGUAAGCGUAUAUUGCAGUUUUCUGAAGGACACUGUAGUUCAGCUUUAGUCUUGAAGGAUGAGUGGUAGUGAACCAGGUAAGAAGUAGAAACAGAAGGGGGAAAAAAAGUUUACGAGUUCUGGGUGCAGUGUGGGUGAGACACAGAGCCAUGUGCAAGCGUGGCUUUUUCAGGAGCACGGAAAGACUUUUUGUAUGGGUGGGGGUGAAAUGGGAGAGGGUAGCUGCCAGAACUGAUGCCAAAUAUUAGUUUCCCAAGAUGUAAAAUGAAGUAAUUAAAUUAGUAAUUUGAAAAAGUUUAAAAACAUUUAAAUUUGAAGGGAUCUUUAGAAAUCAUCUAGUCUAAAUAGCCAGCUUUAUAGAUAAAAUAUUUUUCUUUCUGGCUGCUUCAUUUAUAACUCUAUAAUUCAGCCAUAGGCAAAUUCUGUGCUUUUUUUUUGUAACCCAAAAGCAUUUUCUCAGCUGAUAAGAAUAAGUUUUCUUUUUGUUCUAGACACUGCUUGUGGCCAACCGUGGGACUAAACUUCCGUGCCAAAAGUGAUUAAAAUAGGCAAUGAAGUGUUUUGAAUGGAAUAAAAGGGACUCCCUCCAAAUGCUGCCUAUGUUUCCCAAAGUCAUGCUUUAAAUCUGUCACUGGUAACUUAUUAAUUUGGGACUGGCAUUGUCCUUUCUAGUUCCUCUUUUGUAUCACAAAGUCCCCAAUGUGAGGCAGCACAUGGGAUCACUAAUAUCUUUGAACAAAUUUGAUUGUAUGUUGUUUUUCUCAAGAAAGGGGGACUCAGGCAGCAAGAGGAUACUGGAACGUGUUGGGGAGGCCAGGCCUAAAGGAAGCUGAAAGGCAGGAAAAAUUGUGAAGAAAAUGAAGAUUGUGAUUCUAAGGGCUUUGCUAUUUUCCUAAUGUAGGGAUUGGCCUGACACCAUGGGCCUUUUCAGGAUUUCCAUGCCUUUUAUUUGCUAACAUGUCCUAUGGUUUUUUUCUCCCUAUUUCCCUAUGUCAAUCUUUCCUGCUGAUGCUGUGCUUGAGGUCCAAAGAUAAGGAUAAGCAUGAAUGGAGGAUGAGUGGAGAGAUACAGAGCAGAUGCUUUUGUCCACAGCUGGGACUUAACAGUGUGGCUGAAACUGUUAGUUCUGUCUUUUGAGAUCAGUUCUAGAUAGAUAGAGCACAUUGAGAAAAUGAAAAAUAACAAACCGCUUGGUCUUGUCUCACUGUCUUAAUUUCUGUCAAUUGAAAGGUCUUGGACCCUUGAAUUAUGUCUAUCAAUAAGACAUACUCUUCUAUUUCACUAUCAGAUGUGAGGUAGGAACAAAGGGUAUUGCACAGUCUCUUUGUUUUAACUGUAAUGGGCAGUAUAGAUAUAGUUGUCUUCAAAAGUAGGAACAUUUCCAGGAAAUAAGAAGUAUAUAAAAUGAAGACUGGGAAAACAAAAAUAUCCACUAAUGGUCAUACGCAACCUUAAUUUUAACUUUACAGUCAAGUUUUGGGCCAGAGAAAAGUAAUAGUUAUGUAUCAAUUAAAACAAAGAUAUCAAUUCUCAACAACAUGAGAAGACUUGGACAAUCUGAGGAGCAAGUAGAUACUGGAAAUGAAUCAUACUUAAUUUAUUUUGUUUUAAUUGGGACAUCUUCCAAAAUAUACUACAAUCUGAUUUAAUUAUGAACAAAGAUAAACUCUACUUCUAGAUUCAUAUAACUAACAUCAAUUCACUGUUAUUUUCUUUAUGUUGAUUCUUAUAUGAAAGUUGGGCACCCAGAUUUUAAAUAGAGAUUCAUUAAAAUAUUCUAUGGUAAUUUUAUGGAAAAUGUAACAUAUAUUUUAAAUGGGAGAGAAAGAAUUUUAAGAGAAAAUUUGGUAUGACAGAAAGAUUAUCCAGUUUUACCUGUGAGUACAGUAGCAAUCACAACUGCUUUAUCUUGUAUCAUUCCAGGGAUUACUAGGUAUAGUAGAGGUUCUUAUUGUUGGAAUAAUUUGAUAGAAUGAAAGCAGAAUAAAAAUAGAGCAAAAAGGAAUCUAGGUAAUCUCCUCAGAUUAAAUUAGAUUAUAAUUCUACUUUAAUUUAUUGUCAAAUUCUUUUUUUUUCUUUGAGAUGGAGUCUUGUUUUGUCACUGGGCUGAAGUGCAGUGGCAUGAUCUCAGCUCACUGCAACCUCCACCUCCAAGGUUCAAGCGAUUCUCCUGCCUCAGUCUCCUAAGUACCUGGGAUUACAGACACGCACCACCAUGCCUGGCUAAUUUUUGUAUUUUUUUUAGUAGAGACAGGGUUUCACCAUAUUGGCCAGGCUGGUCUCAAACUCCUGACCUCGUGAUCCACCUGCCUCGGCCUCCAAAAGUGCUGGGAUUACAGAUGUGAGCCACCAGUAAAGUUCUUAACGCAUCACAACUGAGGACUGGAGAAACUGCUUACAAAAAUGCACUUAAAUAAAAUCAUAGAAUACUGGAGCUAGAAGAGGUUUCAGAAAUCCAGAGCAACUCUUCCUUUUCUGGCAAGGCAGAGUGGCUAUAGAGAGUACAGUAGUGGAUUAGAGCCUGGAUUCUAGAGGUAAUCAGCCUGGGUUCAAAUAUGGCUCAACUUCUCACUACCUUUUUAACCUUGGAUAAGUUACUUAGCCCUUCAUGCUUCCUGUGAGAGGGAAAAAAUAAUGUACAUCAUUAAGUUGUUAUGAUGAUUAAAUUUCUAAGUGCUAACCCCUUAAGAUGGUGCCUGGUACUUGAUGUGUGCUUGAUAUUAUUGAGAACUAAGUUAUGCAAGACCUUGUAGACUGAGGUGAAGCUUUGCCCUCAAUUCUGAAGGCAAAAGUUGGAGUUUAAAGGGCAAAUGAGGAAAUUAAUUGAUGAGCCAUUUCUGUUUGAAAAGCAGCUAUUUCUAAAUCCAUACAUUACCACCCAAAGACAUGAAGUGCACACUGGGGACAUUAGUUGGAAGAAGUUUUAUAAUUUAUCUAUGUCCUGCCUGUAAACGAAUGGCAACACGACACAUACGAUUUCUUCAACUUCUAUACUGGGCCACAUCUUUGCCAAGGUAAAGACUAUCAUAUUUAACUAUCUACUUGAUACCACAAUGUGGGAUCCUCACAGGCAUCUCAAACUCACUGCCACUCUCACAUAACCGAUUCCUUUCACCCCUGCAAAUCCGUAAAUUUUAGUAAAUUGUUUCUCUAAUUGUUUAGCUUAGGAGCCUAAGAGCCAUCAUCAAUACCUCUGUUUUUCUUAACUCACUCUCUCCUUCAUCCAAGUGAUCAUGAGAGGAGAGCAGUCUCCCACCAAGACUGACAGACUGGAUAUUCAACAAUAGUAGGAAGUUGAUUUGCAUGCAGGACAGUUCGUAAAGCUCUAACAGAGAUGACAUUGCCAGAGUUUGUAGCACUAAGAUUUGCAGUAGCACAAUUUGGCAUUCAGUGGCUCGUACUGGAGUCCCUUUCAGUGUUAAUGUUUUCUUCCUAAGUAGCCUAUGUGCCACGAGAACACAGAUUCUUCUCAUAUUACUUAUGGACUCCAUAGUGUGCAAAAUAGAUAUUUCAUUAAUUCUUGUAUAUUGAUUAUUACUCUCUUUAGAGAAUUACAAGAAGUUCAGGUCUUCCAUAGGUCAAAUAUUUAUCAAUUUACCUCUGUGUUAAUUUAAACCUGCAUUUAGCUAAUAUACACAAAUAAUAAAACUAAGUAAUAUAUGUUACUCAAAAUAAGAGAUUAAAAACACUUCUUUAAAAAUAUUAAUUUAGAGAAUAUUUCUUUCUGGAUCCUGGAAUUACCCAAUGAACAUAUCUGGCCCUUGCUUGCCCAAGUACAAUAAUGAAUAAUUGGGACAAUAUUGUAUUUUGUAUCAUAGAACCAGAAGGAUGUGACACAGUAUAAGUAUUGAUGAGAUGAAAAAAGAACUACAAUAAAGCAGACACCAUCUGUAAAUUAUUUGGUUUAUGUUCUUUGCAAAGAAUAAAUUAAAUUAGUUGAGCCUGAACUGGACAAGAAGAAUGUUUUACCUGUGUAGUUUCAAAACACAGAGGUUUGUGUAAUAAAACAGUUGGGAGAAAAUACCAAGGGAGUGCCCAAUCAGUGGCUGUAGUAAUUAGAAUAGGAAAGGAGUUUGUUCUUUGACUGCUGAAAACAUCAAUUCUGUCUUCUGAUUUCUCAGGAUUAUACAAACAUUUAAGGAGUGGUGCAUUCUAGUCAUAAUAUGUCAAUGUCACUCCAUCAGGAGUCUUAGAACUUAGGAGUAUUCAGUUGACCACAGCAUUCUUGUGCAGCAGUAAUAGUUCUGACCUGGAAAUUGGUCAGUGUCUAUAGCAUGUAGUGGCUUUUCUUUGGGGGAACAGAGAAACAAGUUAGGAGGCCAUUGCAGUAAUCUAGAUAAGAGCUGAUUGUAACCUGAACUUGAGUGGUAGUGGUAGAACUGGAGUUGUAAAGAAAUGAUAAGAUUGCAGAUAUGUUUUGAAAGUAGCCAACAGGAUUUGUUAAAGGUAAGACAUGAGGUGUGUGUGAGAGGAAUGAAGGAUGAUGCUGUCUUUUGAUCUAUGCAAAAUAAAGAGUAUGUUGGCAACUACUGAGAUGAAGAAGGUUUGUAAAUGCAACACAUUUCAAGGGAGAAAAAGAGUUCAGUUUUAGAUAUAUAAACUUUGAGUUGUCAGCUAAAAAUUCAAGUGGAGUUGUUGGGCAGGCAGUUGAAUAUGUGAGUGUCAAGUUUGUGAGAGAGCUCUGGGUUGAGAGCUCUAGGAUAGAAUUUGUAAUUAACCAGCAUGGGUAGCAUUUGAAGCUAUGUCAUUGGAGGAGAUCAUUAUGGGAGUGAGUCUCUGAGACUCACUCCCAUAGGGAGGAAGAGAAACUAAAAAUGAUGGUGACCACCUCUAGGAAGAAAAAUAAUAAAACAAGGAAGGGGCAUAAGGAUUAAUGGAGAGAGUAAAAUUUUAAGAAGGGAAAUAUUUGUGAAAUUGGAGAUCAUUUCUUUCCCCAAGAAAAGACUAGGACAAAUUGAGAAGAAGCAACCAUGCACAAUAUAAUAGAAAAAAUUCUGCAGAGUAGGGGGAAAAAAACCCAGCGUUUACAAUAGCACAUUGUACUCUGUUAAUGUUAAUGAAAGCAAAGUUAAUGAAAGUAGACUCAGAUCCAUAAAUAUUCCCAGAAAAAUUUUGACCAUUGAAGAUGCCAUCCUAUAGCAUCCAGGCAGAGAAAAUAAUUUGUCUAUAAAGGAAUAAAAACAGGAUUUUUAGUCUUUCUCCAUAAAGAACAAAUGUCAAAAGAAUGUUGUUCAGGCAGUUCAUAUAUCCAGCUAAGAUUGUGUGUUACUACAUGAAGUGUGAAAUGACUAUGAAAAUACCAUUUUGACCCCUUAUAAAAACAAAGUCAAGUAUAUCUUUUACUUAUUGAGAAUCUUACUUCCAAGAACUGUGGUGAGCAAUGAUACAAGUAAACAUAGACAUUUCAAUUUAAUCAGUUGUUACAAAAAAAGACAGCAAGAGUAAGUUCAAAAGUAAACUACACAUUGUUAAACAAGAAGCAUAUUUUAUGAAAGUAUUCAUGUAUUUGUAAAUAUAAACUUAAUUCCAGAAAUGGAUUUGAGAUAGAUAACAUAAAUUUUAAAAAAUCAGCAAGAAGAGCAUAAAGACAAGUGAGAUAAAUUAAUCAGAAGAAUAUGAAGAAUAUAAAACUUAGCUGAACUAGCCUCAGAAUGUAUAUUAAAUGUCAUGUAUUUUACAGUGGUGGGUCAGGCAACUAGUUCUAUGAAAGUCUAGUAAAUGAUAUGAACAGUUUUACAAACAAUUGUGAAGAUUCAUAGGGCCUCUAAGGAAAUACGUGUACACACAUAUGCACUGUCCAGAAGAAUCCCAACUAUUCCUGGAAUUGUGACCUGAAAAAAUUUUUUCCACUUAAUGUCAUGGAGAAAUAAGCACUAAAUGUAAUCAAGAACAAUAUCCUUGACUUCUUGAUGAUGUGCAUGUUAAAUAAAUACCCACUACGUUUCAUAGAACUGUUUUUUGUUUGUUUGUAGAGACAGGGUCUUGCCAUGUUGCCCAGGCUGGUCUCAGACUCCUGGACUCAAGGAAUUCACUUGCCUCAGCCUCCCAAAAUGCUGGGAUUAUGAGUGAGAACCACCAUGCCUGGCCAGAGCUGUUUUUUUUUUUUUUAAAUAACGUCACUUAAUAUAGGUUUACAAUAUGGUGGCAAAAAUGAAUUACUCUAAGUAAUUUUUACCAAAAGCUAAUCCUUUCUGAUUGUGUGGUUUAAUCUCGCUGUAGGUUUUUGAGUGUCUAGAGUGAUAUAUAUUCUUCCAGUCAUCAUUAGUAAAUGUUAUCUUUCUUAGUUGAUACAUUGAAAAUUAUUGAGAAGUGAUUUGAGAUGAUGAUCCCUGAAAUUUGAUAAUAAAAUGCUAUAAUUUAGGUUACCAGGGAGAUGACAUUCUUUUGAGAGAGUCAUUGAGCUCAACAAAAUCUUAAAUGGAAGACAUGGUUAGCUGGAAUGCUUUCUUGCCCUUCAUUGGAGUUAAAGAUAUGAUAAUUAACCAUUCAAGCAUCACCAUCAUCAUCUGUAAUUUAAUGCUAUUAGUUUAAAUCUGAUAGUAUUGACUUGAACGGUCAGAGAAAGUCUCAGCAGACAUAAUCUAAAAGCAGGCAAAAUUUCUUAUAAUUUUAAAAUUUGAAUUUAGAUAAGAUAUCAUUUACUAUGUUUUUGGAAAACGUUAUUGCAUUUAAAUUUACACUGUUCAUACUUUUAUGGAAUAAACAUAACUUUGAGUUGUAUUUCAUAAUAUAUACAACUGCAUUCUAUUCCAUCACAUGUCAUGUUCUCUUUCAUUUUAUAUAGUUAGAUUACUUUUCUGGUCUAAAACAUCAGAAUAGUACCUUGUGAGAUGAAAUGAGGGUGUCAGGAAUUGAAGUGUAUUAUAAGCUGGAGUGGAAAAAAGGCAUUGUGUAUAGCACCCCUCCCUCAUGUCAGCCUAACAAGCUCAUAAGAAUUUCAGCUUGGUCUUUGCCUGUUUGUAUCCUGGCCAUUGGCUUAAAAAUCUUCUGUGUAGUUUGGAAACAUUCUAUUCCUUGGUGGCUUAUGAUGUUAAAUGAGACCUUACUAUGUGUCAGUCACUACCUCAAGGCACCAGGGAUGAAGAAAUAUGUUAGGUAGGUUAUGACACUAUAACAAAAAGAUCCCAAAAGAUAGUGGCUUAAACAAGGUGAUUAUUUAUUUUAAAAAGUGGAUAAGUGGUACAGGCUUGGUGUAGCAGUGGCUCAGCCAGGUUGGAAAUUUAACUUCUUGCUCUUCCAUUCUCAGAAUGUGGCUUCAAUUUUAUGGACCAAGAGACCACUCCAGGUCUCAUGUUAAUUUUGCAUUCUAGCCAAUGGGAAAGGAGAAAAGCAAGGGGAAGACAUGCCCCCUUGCUUUUCUUAGGGAAAACUACCUAAAAAAUUACAUAUGUGACUUGCGCUCAUUUCCUAUUGCUAGAUCUUAGUUACAUUGCCACAGCUAAGUGCAAGUGAGGCUGUGAAAUUGCUAUGGCUGGAUGGCCAUAUUUAGCAUAACCUCUGCAGGUUCUAUUGCUGAUAAAAGAAUGGGAGAAUAAAUAUGGUCAGAUAACUAACAGACUCUUUCUCAUGUGGUGAAGAAAUUAGGCAUGAUCCUUGUCUUAAAUUUGGUUUGAAAGUUAGAAUUUACUCUUUUAAUUCUAUUCAGAUUCUUUAUGCUAGUUAUACACCAUUUUAUUUUGCCUGCCAAUGUUGCUCUCUCCUGCAAUCUCAAGUUAUGGGCAUUUAAGUAUAAAAUAGUAUAGAACUUACAAUGUAUUAACUGUAUUUCUUCUAUUCAAUCCUAGUGGCUCAUGUUACUAAUUCCCCACAUAUCUCGUCCAAUAUCUACUCAAGUUAGCCAAAUACUUGUCCCUCAUUCUGCUAUGAACUCAUUUUAGGCAGAGAUUCCUAACCAAACUAGAAAACUGUGCUCUGAGCAGAGCCAAGUCCAUGGUAAGCAUCCCAUAAAUAUUUGAUAGAUUUUUAUUAAAUUGGUAAUGAAAGUUAGCACAAGAAUUGGAUGCUGAAUAGAGCAAGAAAACUCAAUCUGAUCCAGUCCAAUUUAAAUGUAAACUGAGCCUACAUUAUUUCUACUUUUCACUCUCUCUUCACUAUGACAUUUAUGUGCUUGUUUAGUUUAGGGCUACACAUAAGAAUGACCAUGAACAUUUGACUUGGGAAAGGGGAAUCAGGAAAUUGUUCACCUUCUUGAUCAUUUUGUCAACCCCUCUUUCCCAAAGGAGACGUUUAUGUAGCCCAAUAACUUCACUGAGCUGAAAUAAAAUACAUCUUCAUGUUUUCUUUCUCUAUAAUUUCUGUAGAAAAUAUAAUUUGCAUUCAUUUUUUGGAAGAAAAGAAUCUUAAAGAAACUUUUAAUUUUAUGUGCUAGCAUAGGAAAUGUAGUUAAUAAAAGGAAAAAAGAAUGGAGACAAGGAGGAGGGAACAGAGAGAAAGAGAGCAAUGAUUUUUAAAAAGUUUUUGUUAUGCAUAGCUACUUAUCUUGUGUCAUGGAUGAUAAAUGAACAACUAGUAGAAUGGUAAUACAGUAAAUACAUUGAAAGCCAAUUACUAAUGAUAUAGGAGCAUUAAAAAGCAACUACAGCUGAAUUGUAGCAAAUCAGUCAGAGUAUUAAAAAUAUUAGAUUUAUGAAAGAGUGAAGUACUCUUAAAGAACAUCUGCAAAAUCAAGGAUGUAAUAAUGGCAUUAAAGCUGAUGAAGAAAAUGUUAUAAAUCACAUCAUCUGACUUGGAAGUUCUCCCAAUACUUGGAAUUUUAUUUCAAGAGAACCUCUAGUUCUGAACUAAAUGCCAUAAAUUUGAGAAUUGUGUUCACUUUUGUCACUUGAUCCAUUUGGUCAUACAUUUUGUGUGAGCCUCCAUAAAAGGUUUCCCCCUGACCUUAGACUGAUAAUUACUGUUUGUCUGAGUAAUGUCCUUUCCUCUUAAAAAAAAAAAAGUUUACUUAGGUUGUGUUCACACUGUCUUCUCGGCCAGGACUCUUAGCAUCUCUGACCUCAGUGCUGCUCUUGUAGUUGAUUUGGGCUCUUUGGCUAUGACAGUAUAACUUUGAAGUUCUUUUAAAAUAAUGGCACUGCAUAUGACACGAAACAGUCUUACUUUUUCAUUCAGAAGUUGUAUUUCUCUUUUGUUGAGAUAAUGAAACAAACAUCUUUUCAAAUAAAUGUUCGUUAUAAUUCUCAAAUGUAACCUUUAGAAAUUCAUCUCAAUUAAAUUGCGCAAAUGUAUUCAUAUCAAAUUUGACUGUAGUGGAGAAGACAAGUUAAAACACAGAAUGGAUUUAUCUAAUAGUCAUAUUUUUUCCUCUCUCUCAUAUUCAUGUUCCAGGCAUGAAUAUGAUAAUGUUAUGUUGUGAGCUAAAGUAUUUAUAAUUAAUAAUGAAGUAGAUACUCUAAUAAAAUGUAUCACCUAAAGAAAAGAACAAGUGUUAAUGUGGUGUUACAGUAACAAUCUUUUUAUUAUAGCACAGGCAGGAGGAUGCUAUAUAUAUAUAUAUAUAUAUAUAUAAAACAUACACAUACAGAUACACAAAAACAUAGAUGUAUUUCUCAAGCAUUUAAGAUAUAGUCCAAUUCAGACUAAAGGAACUAUUUCUUUCUGCAAAAAUGAAGCAGUACUAAUAUAUAAAAUGACAGUAGGAAACAUUAUACAAAUUUUAUAAAGUAGAAAUCAUUUCAGUAGCAACAGAUACACUUUGAAAAAUAGUGUAAGUGGAAAAACAGAGGCACUAACAGCAACUUUGUAAAGGAGUCCUUCUGUUUGUGCUUGUAAAUUGCUGAUCACCCCAGCAAUUCUGGACUGUAUUUGCAAGGAUUGUAGGCUUUACACAAACCUACGCCUAAUUAUUAUGGGUGUGGAGCUGUCAUUAUAUUGACAUUUGUCAAGGUUACCUCUAGAGAAGGUGACAAUUGCGUCAAAAUCUGGCUCCACCUUUGUCUCAGUGUGAACAAGCUAUUUUAACUAAUUUGAAUUUGUUUUUCUAUGUGUAAGGUGGAUAAAUUCAUAUACUUUUUAGUAAGUCUUUGUGAGGUUUGAAUGAUGUAACUUAUGUAAACAGCUAGUGACCAGUAGUUUUCCCGUGGAUUAAUUGCUCUGUUCCCUGGCUUUGAGGUGCCUCUGUCUGCACUGACUGCAAUGGGGGUGGCAACAGCUCAGUGGAACAGUCUGCCAGAGAGAAGGUGCCUAUAAAAGCAGAAACAAAAACAGCCAAACAAAUAAUACUGGAUUUAUGGCUCAUUAUUUUUGAAUUUAACCGUUGUGUUCCUUUUCACCAGUAGUGAAGAUAAUAGAAUCAGAGAACACUAAGUAAACAUUUGUUUUUUGUGACUUUUUUUCUUCUUAGAAUUUACCCAAAUUUUCAUAAUCUCUGCCUACAGAAUUAACUGAUUAAUUGUGGACAAUUAAAUGUGAACAAAGAAUAAUUGUAAAUACGAUAUAAUGCACAUGAAUCAAUGGAUAGGGUUUUGUUUUGUUAGAAUUAGCUCUCUCUUGGGGCUAAUAUGACCAUAUUCUGGCUAUUAAUUUAGCAUAAAUGGCAAACUGUUUUGGUUUCUGUGGAGAUUUUUUGUUCUGGUUUACUGGUAUAUGACUGUUUCCUCACCUUUUCAUUUCCUGUAAUAGCACCAAGUACAGUAUCUAAAUUUUGACUAAUAUAAAUCAAAGCACAUGCUUUCCUUUCAGUAAAGUCCUCUAAUUCAACACAUGUGCAGGAUUUUCCUUUUUAAUGCAUUAGACAUCUGUUAUUGCUAAUGGGGAUAAAAUGUCACGUUUAAAACAAUAUGAGUCAUUAAAAGCAGUUCAAAUUUUAAAUACUUUGAAAUUAUUUAUGCUAGAAAAGUUGAUUUUUUUUCUUCUGUGGCUGAGUUUUCAAACAAGAAUAUGCAAAAUAUGUCAAAUGAAUAUGCACAUGAACAUGUGAAUAUGAAUUUGUAAAAGCUUUUGGAGAUCAAAUUUAUCAAGUUCUAAUAUAUUCUUUUAGAAAGUAAAUAUUAAAUGUUGCACAAUUUCUAUGCAUCUUCACAUGCACACGCACACACACACGCACUGGGGCUAAGUAGGAAGCAAAACUGUUUACUAAUUGUUUAAAAAUCUGGAAUUUCAUUAGAAAUGUGACGAGUAUUAAUGACUAGUCAAUAAAUUACUUAGUGUUAGCAAAGAUUACUGUUAUCUGGGGGAAGGGGGCUGUGUGUGUGUGUGUGUGUGUGUGUGUGUGUGUUUGUGUGUAAAGUAUAGAUUAACUGAAUUGUUUUUUAGAUGAAACAUCAUAACAUUUAGUCAAAAUUUCCAUUUCGGUGUCAGAAUGAAAGCGCAUAUUUGUUAAAUGGUUUUCCUUUAGAAUUUUAAAGUCUGAGUAUUUAAUAGUAAAUUUAAUCCUUAUCUUUCUAAUUAAUUUUAACUUCCUCUUUUGGGAAAACUGUCAGAAUACAUGCUUUGUUGAAGACAGAUUUAUAAAUGAAAAUUGAUCUUUUCCCAAAACAAAUGAUCUCUUUUAUAUAAAACAAUACCAAAACUGGGAAACUACUCUAGGCUGUUAGAAGUCAGGAUACUGAAUAUCCUUGCAAGAAGAGAGGGGCAAUGAUUGGAAGAGGGCCUGUAGUGUGCUGGUAACGUUUUACUUUCUAGCAUCCAAAACAAAAAAAAAGUUACAGAAUAUAACUUCUAAGCAUCUUAAAUAACUCCUUUAAAUAUUUUAGAGUUAAAAAGGCAAGAGUUCUCACCUAGGUAACUAGAUCCUGCUCUUCAACUAAGAGUAGACAUAAAUUGUACUGUUGUGUUGCUCUUUUUAAAUUUAAAAUAGCUUUAUUAUUUUUCUGAUUACAAAAGGAUGGCCCUGAUUACAAACCAGGAAAACACAAAUGAGCACAAAAAAUGAUCAAUCCCCUUCUAGCAUAUAUAAAAUAAACAUUUACAUUUAUAGAUAUAAAAACAUGCAUAUACAUACACUUACACAUGUUCCAAUAUGAAGCAAAAAUAAAAUUAUGCCUUACAUAUUGCUUUAUAAAAUACUUUUUUCUCAUCAAUUUUUGGAUUUACCUUUUUGUAGUACAAAAUAUUUUGAGAAAUCAUCCUUUUAAUUGAUGCAACAAUUUUAAUUAAGGACAUACUUUUUUAGACAUCUAUGCUGUUUUCCAUAUUUAUAAUAUUUUAUAUUAUAAACAAUACUGAGGUGCAUGUUUUGUAGUGCCAUCUUUGUGCAUGAUCUUGAUUAUUUCUUUAGGCUAAAUUCCUAUAAGUGAAAUCUUUGUAGGGAAGUUGUAAGAAUACACAAAAUGUCAUAAUAUUAUAAAUAUGACUUCGAUCUUCCUAAUCAGAGCCAAGGUUCAGAGAGCAUUCUUGAAGCCCUUCUUGAUAUGGUAAAUUAUUUGAACCUCAGAUACUCUUGAAUAUCCCUAAGAGAAAACAGUCUUACUCCCAAGAAAAAUUCUGUUUUUCUCAUUGAGUCAAUGACCCUCAUCUAAUCAAUGAGUGUUCUGUAAGUUUUCAGAAUAGCAAUUCCAGACACUUUCAUUUCUACCACUGUCUGGCUGUUGGUCUUAGUAGUUAUAUUUAGACCUGAUAUACAUAUGUAGUGCCAAUGUUUGGUGAAGACCUAGCAAAAUUCCUGGGCUUGUUUUCAGUGUGUAGAAAAAUACUGAUGCUCACUUAAAUACCUGUUUUGGUUACAAUAGAUGGAACAUUCAAUAAUUCUUAUUAUUAAGACAUAAAUUCUUCAAGUAAAAGACAUCUAUUACUAAAAAAGAGUAAAACUAUCUAGCAAAUUAUGGAGGAAAAGGAAGAAAAGUCAACCCUUUCUAAGGUUUGAGCUAGGAAUAAAAACAAUUUACAGGCCAGGUGUGGUGGCUCAUGCCUUUAAUCUCAGCACUUUGGGAGUCUGAGGCAGGUGGAUCACUUGAGGUCAGGAGUUCGAGACCAACCCGGCCAACAUGGUGAAACUGCCUCUCUAAUAAAAAUACAAAAUUAGAUGGGCAUCGUGGCAGGUGCCUGUAAUCCCAGCUACUUGGGAGGCUGAGGUGGGAGAAUUGCUUGAAUCUGGGAGGCAGAAGCUGCAGUGAGUUGAAAUCAUGCCACUGCACUCCAGCCUGAGCACCAGAGUGAGACUGUCUCAAAACAAAAACGAAAUCAAACAGAAAGAAACCACUUUAAAUAUCCACAAUUCAUUCUGAAAUACACGUGAAGGCACUCUGAUGGAAAUACUUUUGUUUUGCAUGUUUCCAUGUAUGUGAAUCAUACAAAUAGCAUGGAGCAGGGGGAUUGUUGAAUUGAGAAGCAGAAGUUCUGAGGGUGUUCAGUGUAAGGACCCUGAGAUUUGGAUUGAAGUAUGAUGCAUGUAUUCAUGUGCAUGUAAUUUGGGAAGAAGUUGUUGUGUUGUGUUAUGUAAUGCUCUGAGUUUGGAGCCUUUUUCAGCCUGUUUUAUGUUAACUUUAGAAGCAGUUGACUGAAUUUGAUGAAAUGUAGUAUACUAAUAAAGGGUAUGAAAUUUAA